UGUUCGGAAUUACUGGGCGUAAAGGGCUCGUAGGCGGCCAACUAAGUCAGACGUGAAAUCCCUCGGCUUAACCGGGGAACUGCGUCUGAUACUGGAUGGCUGGAGGUUGGGAGAGGGAUGCGGAAUUCCAGGUGUAGCGGUGAAAUGCGUAGAUAUCUGGAGGAACACCGGUGGCGAAGGCGGCAUCCGGGACCAAGUCUGACGCUGAGGAGCGAAAGCCAGGGGAGCAAACGGG
rnacentral:rRNA from 1 species